UACGUAGGGUGCAAGCGUUGUCCGGAAUUAUUGGGCGUAAAGAGCUCGUAGGCGGCCUGUCGCGUCUGCUGUGAAAUCCCGGGGCUCAACCCCGGGCGUGCAGUGGAUACGGGCUGGCUGGAGGCAGGCAGGGGAGAACGGAAUUCCUGGUGUAGCGGUGAAAUGCGCAGAUAUCAGGAGGAACACCGGUGGCGAAGGCGGUUCUCUGGGCCUGUUCUGACGCUGAGGAGCGAAAGCGUGGGGAGCGAACAGG
rnacentral:rRNA from 1 species